rnacentral:misc_RNA from 1 species
UUGCGGCUGGAUCACCUCCUUUCUCGAGCUAUGCGUUUUUAGUGUUGAGCGCUCACGCUUAUCGGCUGUAGAUAAAGACAGAAAUCCAGGCAGGCUCAGGGGUCUGUAGCUCAGUCGGUUAGAGCACCGUCUUGAUAAGGCGGGGGUCGAUGGUUCGAAUCCAUCCAGACCCACCAAAGUCUUGUCUGGUGUGCUGACCGGUGAGGCCUCAGGGAGUGCCGGGAAGUGAUGUCUGUGACUGGGGGAUUAGC